rnacentral:rRNA from 1 species
AUGAAACAUUACGCUGAUAAGAAAAGGAAAGAUAUAGAGUUCUUGGUGGGAGACAUGGUUUACUUAAAGUUACAACCAUACAUACAUACAUUCUUGAGCUUACACAUGUUUCUGAAACUGCAUUCUAAGUUCUAUGGCCCUUUUAGAGUUCUAGAAAAGGUUGGCAACACAACAUAUAAGCUUUUACUUCCAGAGGGGUGUCAGUUGCAUCAUACCCUCCAUGUUAGUCAACUGAAGAAACACAUUAGCUCUCAUGUCAUUCCUACAAAAUACCUUCCUUUGCUGGAUGCAACUGGACUCAUCAAAAUGGAGCCUGGAGCCAUUUUAGAGAGAAAAUUAAUACCUUGGCCGUUGGGGCAACACCAGCAUUCCAGUUGUGCACUGGUUAUUCAAUGA